UGAGACUCCAUUGUUAUUGAGGUACAUUUCUGUUGAAGGUAGUGAUAAAGAGUCAAAAGCUUUGCCUUUUUCGAACCCGAGGGUGUUGGUGUUGGUGGAGAAGGGAGGUGAGAUUAGUAUAGUUGAAGAGUAUGUGGGUGGAGAUACGGAUAAAUGUUACUGGACGAAUUCCGUUAUGGAAGUGGUUGUUGGGGAAGGAGCAAAGGUGAGCCAUUCUUACAUCCAAAAUCAAUCUUUCAACGCGGCACAUAUCAAGUGGACUUGGGUUCAGCAGGAAUCAACUAGCAAAUACGAGCAUAUAGAAGUAAGCACUGGUGGGAAGUUAAGCAGGCACAAUAUUCACAUCCAGCAGGUUGGUCCAGACACUGUUACUGAGUUAUCGACGUUUCAUAUGUGCAUCUCGGAUCAAACACAAGAUCUACACAGUAAGUUAGUCCUAGAUCAUCCACGAGGUGUCUCUCAGCAGAUCCAUAAGUGCAUUGUGGCCCAUUCGUCUGGACAGGCUGUUUUUG
rnacentral:misc_RNA from 1 species